UGCCAGACUCCUACGGGAGGCAGCAGUGAGGAAUAUUGGUCAAUGGCCGGAAGGCUGAACCAGCCAAGUCGCGUGAGGGACGACUGCCCUAUGGGUUGUAAACCUCUUUUAUAAGGGAAGAAUAAAUGCUACGUGUAGCAUGGUGCCUGUACCUUAUGAAUAAGCAUCGGCUAACUCCGUGCCAGCAGCCGCGGUAAUACGUAGGUGGCGAGCGUUAUCUGGAAUGAUUGGGCGUAAAGGGUGCGCAGGCGGUCCUGCAAGUCUGGAGUGAAACGCAUGAGCUCAACUCAUGCAUGGCUUUGGAAACUGGAGGACUGGAGAGCAGGAGAGGGCGGUGGAACUCCAUGUGUAGCGGUAAAAUGCGUAGAUAUAUGGAAGAACACCAGUGGCGAAGGCGGCCGCCUGGCCUGUUGCUGACGCUGAGGCACGAAAGCGUGGGGAGCAAAUAGGAUUAGAUACCCCCGUA
rnacentral:rRNA from 1 species